CGUAAGAUGGUUUAUAAUCAUUGUUGUAAAGGCGCUAAGUGUUGUAUACCGUUGAGUUCCAGAAGCGGGGACUGCCUCACGCGCAUAUACUUGUCUGGCGGAGAGGGGGUAACGAUGGCGAUGACUGAUCUGCAGGCUCUUGUUGUGGGGAACAAGAACCUGACCAUCUGUGUGUAUGUUUCGCGUUUGUAGCAGCAUUGUGGAUCCACUGAUAAUGGUCCUAUCAAACACACUGACAUGGUCCUUUUGGAUGU